GUGCUCACUUCAGCAGCACAUAUACUAAAAUUGGUACAAUACAGAGAAGAUUUGCAUGUCCCCUGUGCAAGGAUGAAACACAAAUUCAUGAAGCAUUCCAAAAAUAA